rnacentral:rRNA from 1 species
GUGGGGAAUAUUGCACAAUGGGCGCAAGCCUGAUGCAGCCAUGCCGCGUGUGUGAAGAAGGCCUUCGGGUUGUAAAGCACUUUCAGCGAGGAGGAAGGUGGUGAACUUAAUACGUUCAUCAAUUGACGUUACUCGCAGAAGAAGCACCGGCUAACUCCGUGCCAGCAGCCGCGGUAAUACGGAGGGUGCAAGCGUUAAUCGGAAUUACUGGGCGUAAAGCGCACGCAGGCGGUUUGUUAAGUCAGAUGUGAAAUCCCCGGGCUCAACCUGGGAACUGCAUUUGAAACUGGCAAGCUAGAGUCUCGUAGAGGGGGGUAGAAUUCCAGGUGUAGCGGUGAAAUGCGUAGAGAUCUGGAGGAAUACCGGUGGCGAAGGCGGCCCCCUGGACGAAGACUGACGCUCAGGUGCGAAAGCGUGGGGAGCAAACAGGAUUAGAAACCCCAGUAGUCC